rnacentral:misc_RNA from 1 species
AAGUCGUAACAAGGUCUCCGUAGGUGAACCUGCGGAGGGAUCAUUACUGAGUUACACUCAAACCCUGUUUAAGAAUCUGUUGCUUCGGAGGUGCCCCUCGGGAGGGGAUUUGCUUCGGCCGCUUCCAAAAGCACCUUUACUCUUUAAUUAUGAUUAUCUGUCUUCAAAAAAAAAAAUCAAAACCUCAACAACGGAUCUCUUGGUUACA